UUUGCACUAAUUUCCUUGCCGAAAAAGCACCACACUUUCCUCCACCCACUUUCUCCUCUUCCAUUCUUUCUUGCUAGCUGAGUAGAACUCUGAAAAUGGAUGAUUUUGGAAACAAUCUCAUCAAAAAUAUAAUACGUACCCUUAUUAUGGCUCCAGUGUAUACUACAGCAGGUUAUAUUGCAUACAGAACUGGACGCUGGUUUUAUAAUCAUGAGAUGAGGAGGCUCGCUAUAGAAAGUUCUAAAGAGACGCAAAUGUGGGGAAAACCAAGGAGCAAUGAUCGACCAUCCACAUCUCGCCCCUUUUGGUUCUGGUGAUUGCUUGUUUUUUUCACAAUGUAAUGUUAACGUAUUUUCAUUUUAUACAGAGACGGAUUUAGAAUUUAAAUUUUAUAGAUUUGAGUGUGAAAUUCUUUCACAUUUCAUUUGAUUUUA